rnacentral:rRNA from 1 species
GACGAACGCUGGCGGCGUGCUUAACACAUGCAAGUCGAACGGAAGGGCCCUGCUUUUGUGGGGUGCUCGAGUGGCGAACGGGUGAGUAACACGUGAGUAACCUGCCCUUGACUUUGGGAUAACUUCAGGAAACUGGGGCUAAUACCGGAUAGGAGCUCCUGCUGCAUGGUGGGGGUUGGAAAGUUUCGGCGGUUGGGGAUGGACUCGCGGCUUAUCAGCUUGUUGGUGGGGUAGUGGCUUACCAAGGCUUUGACGGGUAGCCGGCCUGAGAGGGUGAUCGGCCACAUUGGGACUGAGAUACGGCCCAGACUCCUACGGGAGGCAGCAGUGGGGAAUAUUGCACAAUGGGCGGAAGCCUGAUGCAGCAACGCCGCGUGCGGGAUGACGGCCUUCGGGUUGUAAACCGCUUUCGCCUGUGACGAAGCGUGAGUGACGGUAAUGGGUAAAGAAGCACCGGCUAACUACGUG